rnacentral:rRNA from 1 species
UACAGAGACUGCAAGCGUUAUUCGGAUUCACUGGGCGUAAAGGGUGCGCAGGCGGUCGGGUGUGUCAGAUGUGAAAUCCCGAGGCUCAACCUCGGAACUGCGUCUGAAACUACUCGACUAGAGUACUGGAGAGGGUAACGGAAUUCACGGUGUAGCAGUGAAAUGCGUAGAUAUCGUGAGGAACACCAGAGGCGAAGGCGGUUACCUGGACAGUUACUGACGCUCAGGCACGAAAGCAUGGGGAGCAAAAGGG